CAAAGGCUUGGUCCUGACUUUACUAUCAAUUUUAACUGAAUCUAUACAUGCAAGUAUCCGCAACCCCGUGAGGAUGCCCACAGUCUUCUAAAGAAGACUAGGAGCUGGUAUCAGGCUCAUUACAAAUGCCCACGACACCUUGCUUAGCCACACCCCCAAGGGUAUUCAGCAGUAACAAACAUUAAGCUAUAAGUGAAAACUUGACUUAAUUACAGUUAAUAGGGCCGGUAAAACUCGUGCCAGCCACCGCGGUUAUACGAGAGACCCAAAUUGAUUAAUAACGGCGUAAAGGGUGGUUAAAAAUUACACUACUAGAGCAGAAUUAACCCCUGACUGUUAUACGUUACGGAGUAAAGAAGACCUAAAACGAAAGUAGCUCUAAAAUUUUGAACCCACGAAAGCUAGGACACAAACUGGGAUUAGAUACCCCAUUAUGCCUAGCCAUAAACCCCGAUGAUAAUAUACAUUAAGCAUCCGCCAGGGUACUACGAGCGUAAGCUUAAAACCCAAAGGACUUGGCGGUGCUUUAGACCCCCCUAGAGGAGCCUGUUCUAUAACCGAUAAUCCCCGUUAAACCUCACCCUCUUUUGUUUAGUCCGCCUAUAUACCACCGUCGUCAGCUUACCCUUUGAAGGCCUACUAGUAAGCAAAAUUGGUCUACCCCAAAACGUCAGGUCGAGGUGCAGUGUAUGAGAGGGGAAGAAAUGGGCUACAUUUACUAUAUUAGUAAAUAACGGAUCAAGUACUGAAAAGUACUUUUGAAGGAGGAUCUAGCAGUAAAGAGGGAAUAGAGUGCCCCCUUGAAACUGGCCCUGAAGCGCGCACACACCGCCCGUCACUCUCCCCAUAAUAUGCUAUUAAAUUUCCUAAAAAUAAACUUAUAUACUUAGGGGAGGCAAGUCGUAACAUGGUAAGCGUACCGGAAGGUGCUCUUGGACAAAC
rnacentral:ncRNA from 1 species